rnacentral:rRNA from 1 species
CCUACGGGAGGCAGCAGUAGGGAAUCUUGCACAAUGGGCGAAAGCCUGAUGGAGCAAUGCCGCGUGGAUGAAGACGGUCUUCGGAUCGUAAAAUCCUUUCGCUAGAGAAGAAAGUGCGGGAGAGCAUCAGGUCACCUUUCGCCGGUAUCUACCCAGAAAGCCACGGCUAACUACGUGCCAACAGCCGCGGUAAUACGACGGUGGCAAGCGUUAGCCGGAUUUAGUGGGCGGAAAGGGAACGCAGGCGGUGUGUUAAGUCUGAUGGUAAAUCCUUCGGGUUAAACGGAGAAGUGCAUUGGAAACUGGGCGACUUGAGUGCAGAAGAGGCGGGUGGAACUCCAUGUGUAGCGGUGAAAUGCGUAGAUAUGUGGAGGAACACCAGUGGCGAAAGCGGCUCUCUGGUCUUUUACUGACGCUGAGGUUCGAAAGCGUGGGUAGCAAACAGGAUUAGAUACCCCUGUAGUC